AUGAGACGUCACCGGUAUCCGUUUCGAUCGUCCGUGCCGGCAAGGGCACGGAAGCUAGCCGGAAAAGGGCGAGGCAAAGGCCACGCGCCGGCGCGUCGCGCGCGCCAGGGCACCGCUCCCCGAUCUGGGCAGGCACGCACGUACCGCCGGCCGGACCCCGUCGCCAUGCACGAGACGGGCGCUCCGGCGAUCGAUCCUGACGCGCGACUCCAUCCGGCCGCCCGGCCGUUCCGCUGCUCUCGGCACGGGUCGGGACACGCGUUCGUGGAGCACAUGGAGCGCUCCUGGGCCGUGCGGGUCGCUCGUCGGACCAGACCGCACCAGUGCACAUCUGACCCCUCUGUCUCGACCUCGACGACCGCCGCCGCCGCCGCCACCGUCGUCUCGCCGCCGUCCGCCGGUCCGCCAUGGUUUCCUGGAGCGAGGGGUCAAGCUCUUCUUCUUCGGACGACGAUAGCAUUUGAAUCUACGGACACUGGCCAACAUUUUCUUGCUUGCGCUGAGGAGAAGGCUGAACUAAAGUGCAACUAUUUGGAGUGGAUAGACCCUGAGUGGUCAGUGGUUAUGCAGUUCUGCCUAACUGAAUUGUGGGGCAUGUAUGACAAAGAAAUCAAUGACAGGGUGAGAGACAAUGUUCAGCUUGGUGAUCAGAAUUACAAAUUAGUUGGAGAAAAGAGGAAGAUGGAAGAAGAGCUGAGCUUUUUCAAACUUGAUUUUGCAAAAAUGGUGGCUGACAAGGAGGAUGCUAUUACUGAGCUGGGCAAUACUAGGUUGGCUCUCAAUGAUCUGAAAGAGGAGAUGGAGAAGAAGAAGCUGGCAGACCAUGGUUGCACAAACCUACAUCAGUUACUCAGGGCAAAGGCAGAGAAGGAGAGGGACAAGCUUGUGGUAGAGAGAGACCAAGUGCUCACAGAGAGAGACCAACUAAAGGAAGAGAAGAAAAAGCUAGAGUACAUCAUCUCUGAUUUGCUGAAACAGAAGCAUGGCUACAAGGACAAGAUCAAGAAGUUGAAGGAUAUUUGUGAUGAAUUUUAA
rnacentral:rRNA from 1 species